rfam:Colius striatus contig25537, whole genome shotgun sequence.
AUGUUGAAUGAAAGGACAGAAAGUUAGCACUCCCUUUGAUAAGGAUGGAAGAGGCCCUUGAGGCCUGUACAACUCACAUACAGUUAAGGCACUGCUACCUAUUUUGUGGCAUCCAACCAUGUUUUAC